GACAUAGGUGGCAGAACGUUAUCCGGAUUUAUUGGGCGUAAAGGAUGCGUAGAUGGUGGAAUAAGUUAUUGGUCAAAGUCAAGCUCAACUUGGCGGAAGCUGGUAAUACUAUUCUACUCGAGGAUAGGAGAGGUUGGCGGAAUUCUGUGUGGAGCGGUGAAAAUGCGUAGAUAUCGGGAGGAACACCUGUGGCGAAAGCGGCGCACUGGACCACAACUGACGCUGGAUGCGCGAAAAGCUAGGGGAGCAAACAGG
rnacentral:rRNA from 1 species